AACGCAACUUGCGCCUCUCUGAGGCAUGUCUGUUUGAGUGCCGCAUACCAUAUGCAGCAAUGCGAUUUGAUCCAUGUCGGCGACGACUGGGCCUAAAUGUAGCCAGAUAAUGGUCUGUGAGGACUAGCCCGAGUGCUAAGCAUUCUUGGUCUAGGCCCCGCCUGCCACAAUCUAUCUAUCUAAUUGGCCUCAAAUCAGGCAAGACUACCCGCUGAACUUAA
rnacentral:misc_RNA from 1 species